UACGUAGGGCGCAAGCGUUGUCCGGAUUUAUUGGGCGUAAAGGGUGCGUAGGCGGUUUGGCAAGUCUGAUGUGAAAUCUAUGGGCUCAACCCAUAGUCUGCAUCAGAAACUGCCGGGCUUGAGUAUGGGAGAGGUGAGUGGAAUUUCCGGUGUAGCGGUGAAAUGCGUAGAUAUCGGAAGGAACACCUGUGGCGAAAGCGGCUCACUGGACCAUAACUGACGCUGAUGCACGAAAGCUAGGGGAGCAAACAGG
rnacentral:rRNA from 1 species